rnacentral:tRNA from 1 species
GCCUCUGUAGCUCAGUGGAACAGAGCACCGCGCUACGAACGCGGGAGCCCAGGUUCGAGUCCUGGCAGGGGUA